rnacentral:rRNA from 1 species
AUUGAACGCUGGCGGCAGGCCUAACACAUGCAAGUCGGACGGUAGCACAGAGGAGCUUGCUCCUCGGGUGACGAGUGGCGGACGGGUGAGUAAUGUCUGGGGAUCUGCCCGAUAGAGGGGGAUAACCACUGGAAACGGUGGCUAAUACCGCAUAACGUCGCAAGACCAAAGAGGGGGACCUUCGGGCCUCUCACUAUCGGAUGAACCCAGAUGGGAUUAGCUAGUAGGCGGGGUAACGGCCCACCUAGGCGACGAUCCCUAGCUGGUCUGAGGGGAUGACCAGCCACACUGGAACGGAGACACGGUGCAGAGUCCUACGGGAGGCAGCAGUGGGGAAUAUUGCACAAUGGGCGCAAGCCUGAUGCAGCCAUGCCGCGUGUAUGAAGAAGGCCUUCGGGUUGUAAAGUACUUUCAGCGGGGAGGAAGGCGAUGUGGUUAAUAACCGCGUCGAUUGACGUUACCCGCAGAAGAAGCACCGGCUAACUCCGUGCCAGCCGCCGCCGUAA